AUUGAACGCUGGCGGCAUGCCUUACACAUGCAAGUCGAACGGUAACAGGUCUUCGGAUGCUGACGAGUGGCGAACGGGUGAGUAAUACAUCGGAACGUGCCCGAUCGUGGGGGAUAACGGAGCGAAAGCUUUGCUAAUACAGCAUACGAUCUACGGAUGAAAGCAGGGGACCGCAAGGCCUUACGCGGACGGAGCGGCCGAUGGCAGAUUAGGUAGUUGGUGGGAUAAAAGCUUACCAAGCCGACGAUCUGUAGCUGGUCUGAGAGGACGACCAGCCACACUGGGACUGAGACACGGCCCAGACUCCUACGGGAGGCAGCAGUGGGGAAUUUUGGACAAUGGGCGAAAGCCUGAUCCAGCCAUGCCGCGUGCAGGAUGAAGGCCUUCGGGUUGUAAACUGCUUUUGUACGGAACGAAAGACUCCUUCUAAUAAAGGGAGUCCAUGACGGUACCGUAAGAAUAAGCACCGGCUAACUACGUCGCCAGCAGCCGCGGU
rnacentral:rRNA from 1 species